rnacentral:rRNA from 1 species
CAGUCGCCGCGGUAAUACGGAGGGGGCUAGCGUUGUUCGGAAUUACUGGGCGUAAAGCGCACGUAGGCGGCUUGGUAAGUUAGAGGUGAAAGCCUGGAGCUCAACUCCAGAAUUGCCUUUAAGACUGCCGAGCUAGCAGGUGAGAGAGGUAAGUGGAAUUCCGAGUGUAGAGGUGAAAUUCGUAGAUAUUCGCAAGAACACCAGUGGCGAAGGCGGCUUACUGGUCCGGUACUGACGCUGAGGUGCGAAAGCGUGGGGAGCAAACAGGAUUAGAUACCCGUGUAGUCCCUGUCUCUUAUAC